rnacentral:rRNA from 1 species
GUUAUAGCUUGCUAUAACUGUCAGCUAAGUGGCGCACGGGUGAGUAAUGUAUAGUUAACCUGCCCUCUAGAAAGGAAUAACAGUUGGAAACGACUGCUAAUGCCCUAUAUGCCUUUAAGACAUAAGUCUGCAAGGGAAACGCUUUAGUGCUAGAGGAUGGGACUGUAUGGUAUCAGCUAGUUGGUGAGGUAAAGGCUCACCAAGGCAAUGACGCCUAACUGGUUUGAGAGGAUGAUCAGUCACACUGGAACUGAGACACGGUCCAGACUCCUACGGGAGGCAGCAGUGGGGAAUAUUGCACAAUGGAGGAAACUCUGAUGCAUCAACGCCGCGUGGAGGAUGACACUUUUCGGAGCGUAAACUCCUUUUAUAUAGGAAGAUAAUGACGGUACUAUAUGAAUAAGCACCGGCUAACUCCGUGCCAGCAGCCGCGGUAAUACGGAGGGUGCAAGCGUUACUCGGAAUCACUGGGCGUAAAGAGCGUGUAGGCGGGUUAAUAAGUUUGAAGUGAAAUCCUAUG